rnacentral:rRNA from 1 species
UACGUAGGGUGCAGACGUUAAUCGGAAUUACUGGGCGUAAAGCGUGCGCAGGCGGUUUGCUAAGACAGGUGUGAAAUCCCCGGGCUUAACCUGGGAACUGCGCUUGUAACUGGCAAGCUAGAGUGUGGCAGAAGGGGAUGGAAUUCCACGUGUAGCAGUGAAAUGCGUAGAGAUGUGGAGGAACACCGAUGGCGAAAGCAGCCCCCUGGGCUAACACUGACGCUCAUGCACGAAAACGUGGGGAGCAAACAGG